rnacentral:rRNA from 1 species
GGCCGUGGAGUGUAUAGAAGUGAGAAUGCCGGAAUGAGUAGCGCGAAUGCAGUGAGAAUCUGCAUGGCCGAAAGCCUCAGGUUUCUGGAGGAAGGUUCGUCCGCUCCAGGUCAGUCGGGAGCUAAGGUGAGGCCUAACGGCGUAGCCGAUGCACAGACGGUAGAGAUUCCGUCACCACCAAAAGAGUUAAACACAGGGACACAUAUGAAGUCUCGGAGCCGGGUGUUGGUUCCGGUAGCGAUCGAGGGAAGUUAGUACCGAAGUCCGGGAUGGAAGAUGGCGAGAAAAGCUGUGUGUAUUUCUGCGGUGCCCGUACCGCAAACCGACACAGGUAGGUAGGAAGAAGAUUCUAAGGCCAACGGGAGAAGGGUUGUUAAGGAACUCGGCAAAUUGACCCCGUAACUUCGGGAGAAGGGGUGCUGCAGCAAUGCAGCCGCAGAGAAUCGGCCCAAGCAGCUGUUUACCAAAAACACAGGUUUGUGCUAAAUCGAAAGAUGACGUAUACGAGCUGACGCCUGCCCGGUGCUGGAAGGUUAAGAGGAGAUGUGCAAGCAUUGAAUCGAAGCCCCAGUGAACGGCGGCCGUAACUAUAACGGUCCUAAGGUAGCGAAAUUCCUUGUCAGGUAAGUUCUGACCCGCAUGAAAGGCGUAAUGAUUUGGGCACUGUCUCAACAGCCCGCCCGGCGAAAUUGUAGUACCGGUGAAGAUGCCGGUUACCCGCGACAAGACGGAAAGACCCCAUGGAGCUUUACUGUAGCCUAAUAUUGGGUUUCGAUGUUGCAUGCACAGGAUAGAUGGGACUCUGGGAAGCAGGUGCUUUGGCGCUUGUGGAGAGGCCGUUGGGAUACCAUCCUUGCGAUAUUGGAAUUCUAACCUGCGCCUUUGAAUCAAGGCGGGGGACAUUGUUAGGUGGGCAGUUUGGCUGGGGCGGUCGCCUCCUAAAGAGUAACGGAGGCGUUCAAAGGUUCGCUCAGCUUGAACGGAAAUCAAGCAAAAGAGUGCAAACGCAGAAGCGAGCCUAACUGCGAGACUGACGGGUCGAGCAGUAACGAAAGUUGGAGUUAGUGAUCCGGUGGUAUGUGAGUGGAAAUGCCAUCGCUCAACGGAUAAAAGUUACCCUGGGGAUAACAGGCUGAUCUCCCCCAAGAGUCCACAUCGACGGGGAGGUUUGGCACCUCGAUGUCGGCUCAUCGCAUCCUGGGGCUGUAUUCGGUCCCAAGGGUUUGGCUGUUCGCCAAUUAAAGCGGUACGCGAGCUGGGUUCAGAACGUCGUGAGACAGUUCGGUCCCUAUCUGUCGUGGGCGCAGGAUAUUUGAUGGGAGCUGUUCCUAGUACGAGAGGACCGGAGCGGACGUACCUCUGGCGCACCAGUUGUUCUGCCAAGAGCAUAGCUGGGCAACUAUGUACGGAUCGGAUAAACGCUGAAAGCAUCUAAGCGUGAAGCCGACCUAAAGAUAAGAUAUCCCAUUGUUUCAAACAAGUAAGACCCCUUGAAGACUACAAGGUUGAUAGGCACGAUGUGUAAGUGGAGCGAUCCAUUCAGCAAGCGUGUACUAAUAGGUCGAGGGCUUGACCG